CCUACGGGGGACUGCAGUGAGGAAUAUUGGUCAAUGGGCGCGAGCCUGAACCAGCCAAGUAGCGUGAAGGAUGACUGCCCUACGGGUUGUAAACUUCUUUUGCCGGGGAGCAACGGGCGCCACGUGUGGCGCCACUGAGAGUACCCGGAGAAAAAGCAUCGGCUAACUCCGUGCCAGCAGCCGCGGUAAUACGGAGGAUGCGAGCGUUAUCCGGAUUUAUUGGGUUUAAAGGGUGCGUAGGCGGAGCGUUAAGUCAGUGGUCAAAUUGAGGGGCUCAACCCCUUCCCGCCAUUGAAACUGGCGCUCGUGAGGGGAAGAGAAGUAUGCGGAAUGCGUGGUGUAGCGGUGAAAUGCAUAGAUAUCACGCAGAACCCCGAUUGCGAAGGCAGCAUGCCGGCUUCCUACUGACGCUGAAGCACGAAAGCGUGGGGAUCGAACAGGAUUAGAUACCCUAGUAGUC
rnacentral:rRNA from 1 species